GUCGGGCUUUGGGGCCUGGCGGGCCUCCUGCCGCUUCGCGUGGAAGGGUUGCUGCUCCGGGGAGGGGGCAGGUGGGCCCUGCUCGCAGCUGGGGCAGCGGGUUGUGAGGUUCAGGGUGCGUGGUGUGUGAAGGCCUGUGUUUGGGGACUUAGAUCGAAUGUUGAAUACCCCUUACCUCCUCAUCUCGCAUUCUGUUGAACUGUUCAGUACAAGGCUCUGUCCCUGGCUUAGGAUGAGUGAACACACUCCGUGCCCGCAGAAGCUUUGUAAGACAGCCUUGCGAGGGUACUUACUUGUGCCCUGCAGGAUAAGGGGCUGAGAUACCGACAAGGCUGGCACUGGGGUGAGAUCCAAGAGCAGCCUCCGUCCCUAUCCAAAGAUCAAAACCUAUGAAACCAUUGAGUUUGUGCCUUGUAACUCAUGGAGAAAGCAAACGACAACGGAAACGCUUUCAGCUAGUGUUGCCCGAGGAUAUAGGCAACUCUGCAGAUUGUCAUCAUGGGUAUCCGAGGACUAAUGAGUUUUGUGGAAGAUCAUAGCAAUGACUUCUUCACUGAUUUGAAGUUGCGGGACACGAAAAUUGUUAUUGAUGGCUAUGCUCUUUUCCAUCGACUUUGUUUCAAUUCAAAUUUGGAGCUGCGCUAUGGAGGCGACUAUGAUGCUUUUGCAGAUGUUGUACAAAAGUUCUUUGAAUCACUGUUUGCUUGUAAUAUAUGUCCGUAUGUUGUUUUAGAUGGAGGAUGUGACAUUUCAGAUAAAAAGCUUACAACUUUAAAGGAUAGAGCUAGAGAGAAGAUUCAGACAGCCCAUUCCCUUUCUGUUGGUGGGGGUGGUUAUGUAUGUCCCUUACUCAUCCGGGAAGUGUUCAUCCAGGUUCUGGUCAGGCUACAGGUAUGUUUUGUCCAGUGCUUUUCAGAAGCAGAUCGGGACAUUAUGACACUUGCCAACCACUGGGAUUGCCCUGUGUUAUCAUCAGAUAGUGACUUCUGCAUCUUUGACCUGAAAACUGGGUUUUGCCCAUUGAACAGCUUUCAGUGGAGAAACAUUAACACUUUCAAGGGCACAAAAAACUGCUAUAUUCCUGCCAAAUGCUUUUCCCUUGAUGCAUUCUGCCAUCACUUCAGCAACAUGAAUAGAACCCUGCUACCUCUCUUUGCGGUACUAUGUGGAAAUGACCACAUUAAUCUGCCCAUCAUGGAGAAAUUCUUAAGUAAAGUACGUCUUCCCGUUGGAACCACCAGUUCUAAGGGGAGGAGACACCAUCGAGUCCUGGGCCUACUGAAUUGGUUGUCUCAUUUUGCAGACCCUUGUGAAGCACUAGAUAAUGUCCUCAACUAUCUCCCAAAAAAGGAUCGAGAAAGUGUUAAGGAACUUCUCUGCUGUUCCAUGGAAGAAUACCAGCAGUCCCAGGUGAAGCUGCAGGACUUCUUCCAGUACGGCUCUUACGUCUGCCCAGACGCCUUGAACUUGGGUUUACCAGAAUGGAUACUAGUGGCGUUAGCCAGAGGCCAACUACCCCCUUUCAUCAGCGAUGCUUUGGUGCUACGAAGGACUAUCCUUCACACUCAGGUAGAAAACAUGCAGCGACCAAAUGCCCACAGGGUGUCGCAGCCCAUCCGGCAAAUCAUCUAUGGGCUUCUUCUGAAUGCUUCACCACAUCUGCGGGAUGCAGCCUGGCAGGCGUCGCCGCCUCAGCCUGUAGCCUUCAGGGAAGUGGAAAGGAUUCACAGAAAUAUCACAACAUCAGUUGUUGAUGCCGUAGACCCGCUCAAGGACCGUUCCGACCUAAGCACGUUGACUGAGGUGGAGGAAGAUGGCGACUGAGUAAGACGCUUGAGGGACCAUCUCCCACAGAGGCACCAGUCUGAACAGCUAUAAACGCACCAAAUCACCUUCACAAGAGCUGUGGAAGCCAGGUUCCUGGGCUCCCUCAACCAGCUUCCGACAGGAUGGGAGCACCCAAGGAUGCAGUGACAUGAGUGAAGGCUGUGUAGCAGGAAAAGACAGUGUACCCAUUCAGCCACCUUAUCCUUUAAGGACCUUAUCCCUGUUCUAAGUGCUGUCAUCCCUUCCCCACUAGAA